UGCAGUUGAGCGCUGAGGNUGGUACUUGUACCAACUGGAUGAGCAGCGAACGGGUGAGUAACGCGUGGGGAAUCUGCCUUUGAGCGGGGGACAACAUUUGGAAACGAAUGCUAAUACCGCAUAAAAACUUUAAACACAAGUUUUAAGUUUGAAAGAUGCAAUUGCAUCACUCAAAGAUGAUCCCGCGUUGUAUUAGCUAGUUGGUGAGGUAAAGGCUCACCAAGGCGAUGAUACAUAGCCGACCUGAGAGGGUGAUCGGCCACAUUGGGACUGAGACACGGCCCAAACUCCUACGGGAGGCAGCAGUAGGGAAUCUUCGGCAAUGGACGAAAGUCUGACCGAGCAACGCCGCGUGAGUGAAGAAGGUUUUCGGAUCGUAAAACUCUGUUGGUAGAGAAGAACGUUGGUGAGAGUGGAAAGCUCAUCAAGUGACGGUAACUACCCAGAAAGGGACGGCUAACUACGUGCCAGCAGCCGCGGUAAUACGUAGGUCCCGAGCGUUGUCCGGAUUUAUUGGGCGUAAAGCGAGCGCAGGUGGUUUAUUAAGUCUGGUGUAAAAGGCAGUGGCUCAACCAUUGUAUGCAUUGGAAACUGGUAGACUUGAGUGCAGGAGAGGAGAGUGGAAUUCCAUGUGUAGCGGUGAAAUGCGUAGAUAUAUGGAGGAACACCGGUGGCGAAAGCGGCUCUCUGGCCUGUAACUGACACUGANGCUCGAAAGCGUGGGGAGCNNNAGGAUUAGAUACCCUGGUAGUCCACGCCGUAAACGAUGAGUGCUAGAUGUAGGGAGCUAUAAGUUCUCUGUAUCGCAGCUAACGCAAUAAGCACUCCGCCUGGGGAGUACGANCGCNANNUUGAAACUCAAAGGAAUUGANNGGGCCCGCACAAGCGGUGGANCAUGUGGUUUAAUUCGAAGCAACGCGAAGAANCCUUACNNNNCUUGACAUACUCGUGCUAUUCCUAGAGAUAGGAAGUUCCNUNCNGGANNNGGGAUACNGNNGGUGCAUGGNUUGUCGUCAGCUCNUNNCNUGA
rnacentral:rRNA from 1 species